rnacentral:rRNA from 1 species
UACGUAGGGUGCAAGCGUUGUCCGGAAUUAUUGGGCGUAAAGAGCUCGUAGGCGGUUUGUCGCGUCUGCUGUGAAAAUCCAGGGCUUAACCCUGGACCUGCAGUGGGUACGGGCAGACUGGAGUGCGGUAGGGGAGAUCGGAAUUCCUGGUGUAGCGGUGAAAUGCGCAGAUAUCAGGAGGAACACCGGUGGCGAAGGCGGAUCUCUGGGCCGUAACUGACGCUGAGAUGCGAAAGCGUGGGGAGCAAACAGG